ACAUCCAGAGAAUUUAGCAGAGAUGCUUUAGUGCCUUGGGAACUCUGAGACAGGUGCUGCAUGGCUGUCGUCAGCUCGUGUUGUGAAAUGUUGGGUUAAGUCCCGNAACGAGCGCAACCCUUAUCCUUUGUUGCCAGCACGUAAUGGUGGGAACUCAAAGGAGACUGCCGGUGAUAAACCGGAGGAAGGUGGGGAUGACGUCAAGUCAUCAUGGCCCUUACGAGUAGGGCUACACACGUGCUACAAUGGCGCAUACAAAGAGAAGCGACCUCGCGAGAGCAAGCGGACCUCAUAAAGUGCGUCGUAGUCCGGAUUGGAGUCUGCAACUCGACUCCAUGAAGUCGGAAUCGCUAGUAAUCGUAAAUCAGAAUGUUACGGUGAAUACGUUCCCGGGCCUUGUACACACCGCCCGUCACACCAUGGGAGUGGGUUGCAAAAGAAGUAGAUAGCUUAACCUUCGGGAGGGCGUUUACCACUUUGUGAUUCAUGACUGGGGUGAAGUCGUAACAAGGUAAGCGUAGUGCU
rnacentral:rRNA from 1 species